rnacentral:rRNA from 1 species
ACGAACGCUGGCGGCGUGCUUAACACAUGCAAGUCGCACGGAAAGGCCCUGCUUUUGUGGGGUGCUCGAGUGGCGAACGGGUGAGUAACACGUGAGUAACCUGCCCUUGACUUUGGGAUAACUUCAGGAAACUGGGGCUAAUACCGGAUAGGAGCUCCUGCUGCAUGGUGGGGGUUGGAAAGUUUCGGCGGUUGGGAAUGGACUCGCGGCUUAUCAGCUUGUUGGUGGGGUAGUGGCUUACCAAGGCUUUGACGGGUAGCCGGCCUGAGAGGGUGACCGGCCACAUUGGGACUGAGAUACGGCCCAGACUCCUACGGGAGGCAGCAGUGGGGAAUAUUGCACAAUGGGCGGAAGCCUGAUGCAGCAACGCCGCGUGCGGGAUGACGGCCUUCGGGUUGUAAACCGCUUUCGCCUGUGACGAAGCGUGAGUGACGGUAAUGGGUAAAGAAGCACCGGCUAACUACGUG